GCUGGUUGUUGCUCAGUGGUAGAGCACUUGCCUAGCAUGUGUGAGGCACUGGGUUCUAUUCUCAGCACGGCA
rnacentral:tRNA from 1 species